AAGAGGAGGAAUUAAGAGGAAGCGACGGCGAAGAAGGGCAAAGGGAAGUGUAAAAAGGAAAUGGACAGUGAGAUGAGUGACCAGGAAGCGACGGCGAAGAAGGGCAAAGGGAAGUGUACAAAGAAAAGGGACAGUGAGAUGAGUGACCAGGAAGUGAAGAAGAAGAAAACAGGGAAAGGGAAAAGAACCAAGCAAACGCUAGUGAGACCAGUGAGCAUUGAGCAGGAAGAGAACCAACAAGAAGGGGCAGGAGUACACUGACGCGCACGACCAAGGCCACAGCAUUCCAUUUCUAUUUCAUCCAUCCAUCCAUCUUCUUCCGCUUAUCCGAGGUCAGGUCGCGGGGGCAGCAGCCUAAGCAGGGAAGCCCAGACUUCCCUCUCCCCAGCAACUUCGUCCAGCUCUU